GGAGAGAUGCCCGAGUGGUUAAAGGGGGCAGACUGUAAAUCUGUUGGUUAACGCCUACGCUGGUUCAAAUCCAGCUCUCUCCA
rnacentral:tRNA from 1 species